AGGAGGGUUCCUUUAUAGGUAAGAAGGGCUAAACUGUAAAUUUAGUACAUGAAUUGUUUUUUGAGGGUUCGAAUCCCUCGUCUCCUA
rnacentral:tRNA from 1 species